rnacentral:ncRNA from 1 species
CGUGCAGCAACAACAAACAAACCCCCCCGACUGACUUUCUUUUGGGGAGGGGGGGGCGCAUUUAUUAGAUAAAAGGCUGACACGGGCUCUGCUCGCUGAUCCGAUGAUUCAUGAUAACUCGACGGAUCGCAUGGCCUUUGUGCCGGCGACGCAUCAUUCAAAUUUCUGCCCUAUCAACUUUCGAUGGUAGGAUAGGGGCCU